CAGAAAUUAGUUUAAUAAAAAUAUUAAUUUUGGAGAUUAAUGAUAAGUAAAUAACUUAUAUCUGA
rnacentral:tRNA from 1 species